AGUUUGGGGCAGACUAACCACGCACUCUGUUUGUCCGUGAGACUCUCCUUAGCGAGCCACGGCUGACUGAGGACCCUCUGUGGCGGAAAUACUCCAUUUCCCCGCGUUGUGGCCGCAGGUGUCGAGGCGGCGGGACGCGUCCCUCGCCUGUCGGGAGAGGCGCCGCGCACUGCGAGGCCUUGGGUGCGGGUGACCCUUACUGGCACUUAAUAUGUGGCUUCAAGCAGACACUUCAGGAGAAGGGAUUAUAAAAGUUACGGCAAUAUAAUCCAACUACGGAGGUAGGACACGAAUGUUGUCAACAAGAGUAAGAGUAUUGCGCCGAAUGUCAAAGGUCCCACAGGUUCCUUCCUAAUAGAGCAUGACUAAGAUUCAGUGAAAUAUAAAGAAAGGUCGCCGGUGGAGCGGUCUUGGCGGAAUCAAUACUGACAAUCAGAGACAUUGUAAAUUGAUAGAAGCCUGCGACUCUCCCUAUUAACACAGGUUUCAGAAGCUGCAUGACGCUCCUCCUUUUCUCCUACACUUGCGUACUAACAGUUAACUUACACCAGGUUUUUGUUCCGGCACGCACUUUUCCUAUUAUUCAUCAAUGACUUUCGCUCUCCAGUCCAGUGGCCGACCCAACCCUUGCUUUGAUAAAUGACGCUACUUUUCUUUCUGAGCCUCGUAGGAGACAUGAGCCUCUCAUCAAUUACCACUUGUUUCCAGACGAGUUGCUAAAGAUCGCUCAACUAGACCACUUUGUCAAUAGGAAACGGGAAACCUGAUGAUCUUUACUGCCAUAAAAACUCACAUUCAUUUUUCUGAUAUUUCCACAGAGAAUAUGGUGAUCCCUACCUCCUUAAAAACUGACUCUUCUUAUAUUUCCAUAGAUAUUUCCAGUCAUAUUUACACUUCUCUUAUUUAAACCAAUUGCUAUUUUUUUCGAGGAGUUGCUACAGAACGCUAAACUAGAUAUCUUUCUCAGUAGAGGACGGAGAGCUUGAUAAUCGCUUCCUCCUUAUAAAUUUACAGUUCCCAUAUUCCAGGUAACUCUUCCAAUAUUUCCACUAAUAAGCUGUUUCUAGAAGACUUGCUACAGAUCACUACAUUAGAUUCCUUUAUAAAUAGAUGACGGUGAACCUGAUGAUCCCUACUGCCCCAAAAACUCACAUCCACUCAACUCUCACUUCAAAUUCACACUCCUCAUAUUCUCAUUAAUUAGUUGCUUCCCGAUUUCUUUCUUAACGGGAGGUGGAGUACCUGAUGAUCCCUGAACCCUCAAAAAACCUCAAAUUCACACCUCUGACAUUUCCAAAACUAUCACCUUCCACACAACCUUUACAUCCUCAUUAAGAAAGCUCCAAUAAUCCACGCUCCUUCGCAGCUGACAUGCUUAAUUUCAAUAGAAAUCUGGAGUGGAAAGGUUGGAUCUGUGCUCUUGUCAUAUCAGCUUCAAUGGCGUUAGAUAUUCUGUACCGUCUCUGUCAAUUCAGGGUCUACAACACCAAGGGCUCAUCUGGGUGCGAGGAUUGUUGCUGCUGCCUUAUGGAGAGCUGGGGAUGGGGGCUCAGGGAGAAGUUGGUUUGGUACGAGCCUUCACUUUUUGUUAUGGUGUCCAGAGUAUAAGGGUGAAAGAAAGGGAAGUGUAAGACUGCAAAAAACCAUUCAGAGGAGUAGGCGGAGGAGGAGGAGGAAGAGGAGGAGAAUCUCUGUAUCUAUCUUUUUUAUCUAUCUAUCUUUCUCUGUCUCUCAACUCUCCGCUUCUGUCCAUCUUACUAAUGCAAAAGUUAAUCAGUAUCUUCACUCCUUCACCUUCUUCACGUGUAACAAGUUCCACAAAAGUCCACCGCGCUAUACAUUAUUUUCUCAUCCUCUCACAACUUGGAGGCUCGAGUGAUGACAUUAUGAUAACACUUACAGUACUUCUGAAACUGUGACAAGUAAAAAAUGCCUUAGUUAGAAUGUCAAGGCUCAGAAGUAUUUCGGAUUUGGGAAUACAAACAGAUAUCUAUUUACGGUGGUGCCAGGAUGCGAGAAUAAAUCAAUAGAAAAUGCUCAAUGAAUCACUAAAUAUAUGAGUGGGUAAAAUAAGAAAAAGAAUUGUAUUGGGACAUCUUUACAUCUUGUCUGCUCUGUAUGCUGUACAAAUUACCAAUUUAGCUUUAUUUUUUUAUUUAUUUAUUUUUUUUUUUUUUUGUUGGAGGAAGGUAAGAAGGAGCGGCAAAUUAACGUUUUUUUCUGAUCUUUCUGUUCUUGGCUGGUUUUCCUGAAGCAUUAAAGAAAGAAAAAGGAAAAA